rnacentral:rRNA from 1 species
CAGUAGCCGCGGUAAUACGUAGGGUGCAGGCGUUAAUCGGAAUUACUGGGCGUAAAGCGUGCGCAGGCGGUUUGUUAAGACAGAUGUGAAAUCCCCGGGCUCAACCUGGGAACUGCAUUUGUGACUGGCAAGCUAGAGUAUGGCAGAGGGGGGUGGAAUUCCGCGUGUAGCAGUGAAAUGCGUAGAUAUGUGGAGGAAUACCGAUGGCGAAGGCAGCCCCCUGGGAUAACACUGACGCUCGUGCACGAAAGCGUGGGGAGCAAACAGGAUUAGAUACCCGUGUAGUCCCUGUCUCUUAUAA